rnacentral:piRNA from 1 species
UGUGAUGUUUGAUUCCUGCUCCCA